AUGAACGCUAGCUACAGGCUUAACACAUGCAAGUCGAGGGGCAGCAUGGUCUUAGCUUGCUAAGGCUGAUGGCGACCGGCGCACGGGUGAGUAACACGUAUCCAACCUGCCGUCUACUCUUGGCCAGCCUUCUGAAAGGAAGAUUAAUCCAGGAUGGGAUCAUGAGUUCACAUGUCCGCAUGAUUAAAGGUAUUUUCCGGUAGACGAUGGGGAUGCGUUCCAUUAGAUAGUAGGCGGGGUAACGGCCCACCUAGUCAACGAUGGAUAGGGGUUCUGAGAGGAAGGUCCCCCACAUUGGAACUGAGACACGGUCCAAACUCCUACGGGAGGCAGCAGUGAGGAAUAUUGGUCAAUGGGCGAUGGCCUGAACCAGCCAAGUAGCGUGAAGGAUGACUGCCCUAUGGGUUGUAAACUUCUUUUAUAAAGGAAUAAAGUCGGGUAUGCAUACCCGUUUGCAUGUACUUUAUGAAUAAGGAUCGGCUAACUCCGUGCCAGCAGCCGCGGUAAUACGGAGGAUCCGAGCGUUAUCCGGAUUUAUUGGGUUUAAAGGGAGCGUAGAUGGAUGUUUAAGUCAGUUGUGAAAGUUUGCGGCUCAACCGUAAAAUUGCAGUUGAUACUGGAUGUCUUGAGUGCAGUUGAGGCAGGCGGAAUUCGUGGUGUAGCGGUGAAAUGCUUAGAUAUCACGAAGAACUCCGAUUGCGAAGGCAGCCUGCUAAGCUGCAACUGACAUUGAGGCUCGAAAGUGUGGGUAUCAAACAGGAUUAGAUACCCUGGUAGUCCACACGGUAAACGAUGAAUACUCGCUGUUUGCGAUAUACGGCAAGCGGCCAAGCGAAAGCGUUAAGUAUUCCACCUGGGGAGUACGCCGGCAACGGUGAAACUCAAAGGAAUUGACGGGGGCCCGCACAAGCAGUGGAGUAUGUGGUUUAAUUCGAAGCAACGCGAAGAACCUUACCAAGUCUUGACAUCCCUCUGACCGUUCCUUAACCGGAACUUUCCUUCGGGACAGGGGAGACAGGUGGUGCAUGGUUGUCGUCAGCUCGUGUCGUGAGAUGUUGGGUUAAGUCCCGCAACGAGCGCAACCCUUAUCCUUUGUUGCCAGCGGUCCGGCCGGGAACUCAAAGGAGACUGCCAGUGAUAAACUGGAGGAAGGUGGGGAUGACGUCAAAUCAGCACGGCCCUUACGUCCGGGGCUACACACGUGUUACAAUGGGGGGUACAGAGGGCCGCUACCACGCGAGUGGAUGCCAAUCCCUAAAACCCCUCUCAGUUCGGACUGGAGUCUGCAACCCGACUCCACGAAGCUGGAUUCGCUAGUAAUCGCGCAUCAGCCACGUCGCGGUGAAUACGUUCCCGGGCCUUGUACACACCGCCCGUCACACCAUGAGAGUCGGUAACACCCGAAGCCGGUGGCCUAACCGCAAGGAAGGAGCUGUCUAAGGUGGGACUGAUGAUUGGGGUG
rnacentral:rRNA from 1 species